ACAAGAACUUCUACAUCAAGCUCAUCGAUAUGUCCUGGAAAAUACAAUUGAUAUCCAACCAUAUAUGGAGUAAGUUUGUUCAUUGCUUUCUUCAUUGUUUCAUUGACUUUUAUAUAAUUAAUCUAACUAUAUUACAAUGUUUGUAUGAUGACUAUAAAGAAAACAUAUGAAAGCUUUGGAACUACGAUAUCGGAAUAAGUCUAAAAAUCAGAAAUGGCUUCAAGAGGAACAUGAUCGAACGUUUAUUUGGCUAUAAGAAGAGGUAUAGUGAUGAACUUUGUAAUUUAGUUAUACAUGUUAUGUGUUAAACUUGAAAUAAGAAUUCUCAUGGUAGGUAUCAACUGAGCUUGAAGUUGGAAAUACUGGAGUUUCAUAUAACUUAAGGUGGAUUGCUCAUGGCCCUCAUCCUUUUGUUAUUACAUAUAGUGGUUGCAAUAAACGGAUGUCGCUAUCACAAAAAAUCUUCUAAGAAGGAUCGAAAUAUACAAAACAACGGAGUUAGCUUAGUUGCAAAAACAAUGCAAGUAUCUAGUUCUAAAGAUAAAAAUUCCAUCAUUGGAGAUAUUUCUUUCUAUGGAGUGAUACAAGAGAUAUGAGAACCCAAUUAUAAUACGUUUAAUGUUUCGGUGUUUAAAUGCGAUUGGGUUCAGAAUAGUGGUGGUGUUCGUAUCAAUGAACUUGGUUAUGUUUUAGUUGAUUUAAAUAGAGUAAGACACAAGUCAGACUCAUUUAUACUAGUAAGCCAAGCAAAGCAAGUGUUUUAUGUUGAGGAUCCAAGUGAUGUUAGAUGGUCAGUUGUACUCACUCCACCACGAAGAGACUUUGAAGGUAGGUAUAAUGAUGACGAACUUGGUGAAACAAUACUCCAGUGUGAAGGAAUACCCAAUGAUAUGUCAGAUGUCGAUUUAAACAAUGACUUGGAUGACAUGAUCUCAACGUACAUAAGAUCAGAUUGUGAAGGCACAUGGAUACCUACAUAAUAUUAUAAUGGUGUGUUUUUAAAAUUUCAAACAACUAGACCAUAAGUUUAUUAUGUUCAUUUAUCUCAUUUCAUUAUUUAUUGUUUAAAAUUUGUAUAUCAUGCUAAUUGUUUCUUCAUUUUGAUUGACAACUUUCACAUAAUAUAAUAUGGACGAUUUUAAUGAAGAACUUGGUGUCGGUGAGUUGAAUGCAACAGUUGAAGAGAUUGAUACUAAAAAUGAAACCCCAAAAGAGUUGAAGCGACGACGAGGACCUACUACUAUGUUUGAUGUAACUCGCAUUAGAAGUUUGGGAGACAAGAAGGUGGUGAGAUACAAUGAAGACGGAGCACCUAUUGGUGAGAAUGGAGCCAAGUUAAAGUCUUUCAUAGGGUCUGCAACCCAUUAUCAUGUCCCUAUCACAUAUACGUCUUGGAAAAGUGUACCUGCAGAACUGAAAGAUAAGAUAUUCACUACAGUUGAGGUAUUUUGUUUCGUUAGUUUAAGAACUGGCUAACAACAAAAUACAUCAUGCCACGUAAAGAUGAACCACAACUUCUUCAAGUUCCACCUGAAAAGUAUUCCUUCAUUGAGCAAAAUCACUGGGAAGAGUUUGUAAGGUCAAGAAUAUCCGAGACCUUUCAGGAAAAAAGAUAAUUACAACAAGAUAGAUGAUCGAAGAACAAAUACAAUCAUAGAAUCUCAAGGAAAGGGUAUGCCAAUCUUAAGGAGGAAAUGAAGGAGGGUUCAAAUGAAGUUGAUCAUGUUGAUCGAGCUAAAAUGUGGAAGAAAGCUCGAGUUAACAAACAAGGACAGUACGACAACGACGACAUUCAGCAAAUUGUCCAUAAAAUAAUUCAUCGUCUGUGAACAGACACUAUUCGAAUGAUGUGUUAAUCCAAGCAUUGGGCAAAAGAGCACAAUGGUCGUGUGCGUGGGGUUGGUGGAUACAUUACUCCGACAACGUACUUUCAUUUAGUUAAGAAAACAUCAAAAGAUGAGACGAACAUUCUAGUUGAGAAUGAAGAACUCCGAAGGCAAGUUAGUGAAUUAAAGGCACAAAUUUGCUCAAACUUGGCUACACCAUUGUCUGCACACGGGAGUUGUUCAAGGCCAAUAAUGUUAGAGGGGAUUGAAGAGAAGGGUACAAGAAUAGAAGUGGAAUCGAUGGACAAACCAAAAGAGAAUUAAAAGGAAGGGAAGGAGGUGAUGAAGAUGAAUGAACCAAAGUUUGACGUUUUGAAAGUAUGUAAUCCACUAUUAAACUGGAAUGUCUAAUAUUGUAUGUCUUAUUGAAUGUGGAUGUUCUUGAAUUAGGAGAGGGACUUAAUAAAAAUGCCUACGGAAAAAGAAGUUGUAUGUGAGUCGACAUCAACUUUGCCAUUAGCUUUGAAAUCGAUUCUCAGAUAUGUUGAGAAGGUAAUGGAGAAAGAUUCCAGCAUCACUUUUUCACUACCAGCUGACAUUUUUGGUAUUAGUCGAAAGCGCUCUGUGCUUUGAGAGGAUAUAAUUGAUCUUUGUUACAUGAACGAUGUCAAAACGUUCACAUUGGUGGCCUAUAUGAU